AUUGAACGCUGGCGGCAGGCCUAACACAUGCAAGUCGAGCGGCAGCGGGACCUUCGGGUUGCCGGCGAGCGGCGGACGGGUGAGUAAUGCCUAGGAAUCUGCCUGUUAGUGGGGGAUAACGCGGGGAAACUCGCGCUAAUACCGCAUACGUCCUACGGGAGAAAGCGGGGGCUCUUCGGGCCUCGCGCUAACAGAUGAGCCUAGGUCGGAUUAGGUAGUUGGUGGGGUAAUGGCCCACCAAGGCGACGAUCCGUAACUGGUCUGAGAGGAUGAUCAGCCACACUGGAACUGAGACACGGUCCAGACUCCUACGGGAGGCAGCAGUGGGGAAUAUUGGACAAUGGGCGAAAGCCUGAUCCAGCCAUGCCGCGUGUGUGAAGAAGGUCUUCGGAUUGUAAAGCACUUUAAGUCGGGAGGAAGGGCUGUAGGCUAAUACCUUGCAGUUUUGACGUUACCGACAGAAUAAGCACCGGCUAACUUCGUGCCAGCCGCCGCCGUAA
rnacentral:rRNA from 1 species